UACGUAGGGGGCAAGCGUUGUCCGGAAUCAUUGGGCGUAAAGAGCGUGUAGGCGGCCAGAUAAGUCCGCUGUGAAAACUCGAGGCUCAACUUCGAGCUGUCGGCGGAAACUAUCUGGCUAGAGUCCGGAAGAGGAGAGUGGAAUUCCUGGUGUAGCGGUGAAAUGCGCAGAUAUCAGGAAGAACACCGGUGGCGAAGGCGCUCUGCUAGGCCGUAACUGACACUGAGGGACGAAAGCUAGGGGAGCGAAUGGG
rnacentral:rRNA from 1 species